GACGAACGCUGGCGGCGUGCUUAACACAUGCAAGUCGAACGGAAAGGCCCUGCUUUUGUGGGGUGCUCGAGUGGCGAACGGGUGAGUAACACGUGAGUAACCUGCCCUUGACUUUGGGAUAACUUCAGGAAACUGGGGCUAAUACCGGAUAGGAGCUCCUGCUGCAUGGGGGGGGUUGGAAAGUUUCGGCGGUGGGGGAUGGACUCGCGGCUUAUCAGCUUGUUGGUGGGGUAGUGGCUUACCAAGGCUUUGGCGGGUAGCCGGCCUGAGAGGGUGACCGGCGACCUUGGGACUGAGAUACGGCCCAGACUCCUACGGGAGGCAGCAGGGGGGAAUAUUGCACAAUGGGCGGGAGCCUGAUGCAGCAACGCCGCGUGCGGGAUGACCGCCUUCUGGUUGUAAACCGCUUUCGCCUGUGACGAAGCGUGAGUGACGGUAAUGGGUAAAGAAGCACCGGCUAACUACGUG
rnacentral:rRNA from 1 species